rnacentral:rRNA from 1 species
GACGAACUUUGGCGGCGUGCUUAACACAUGCAAGUCGAACGGUAAGGCUCCAGCUUGCUGGGGUACACGAGUGGCGAACGGGUGAGUAACACGUGGGUGACCUGCCCUGCACUUCGGGAUAAGCCUGGGAAACUGGGUCUAAUACCGGAUAGGACCGCACCGUGAGGGUGUGGUGGAAAGUUUUUUCGGUGUGGGAUGGGCCCGCGGCCUAUCAGCUUGUUGGUGGGGUAAUGGCCUACCAAGGCGGCGACGGGUAGCCGGCCUGAGAGGGUGGACGGCCACAUUGGGACUGAGACACGGCCCAGACUCCUACGGGAGGCAGCAGUGGGGAAUAUUGCACAAUGGGCGGAAGCCUGAUGCAGCGACGCCGCGUGGGGGAUGACGGCCUUCGGGUUGUAAACUCCUUUCACCAUCGACGAAGGGUUUCUGACGGUAGAUGGAGAAGAAGCACCGGCUAACUACGUGCCAGCAGCCGCGGUAAUACGUAGGGUGCGAGCGUUGUCCGGAAUUACUGGGCGUAAGGAGCUCGUAGGUGGUUUGUCGCGUCGUCUGUGAAAUUCCGGGGCUUAACUCCGGGCGUGCAGGCGAUACGGGCAUAACUUGAGUACUGUAGGGGAGACUGGAAUUCCUGGUGUAGCGGUGAAAUGCGCAGAUAUCAGGAGGAACACCGGUGGCGAAGGCGGGUCUCUGGGCAGUAACUGACGCUGAGGAGCGAAAGCAUGGGGAGCGAACAGGAUUAGAUACCCUGGUAGUCCAUGCCGUAAACGGUGGGCGCUAGGUGUGGGUUUCCUUCCACGGGAUCCGUGCCGUAGCUAACGCAUUAAGCGCCCCGCCUGGGGAGUACGGCCGCAAGGCUAAAACUCAAGGGAAUUGACGGGGGCCCGCACAAGCGGCGGAGCAUGUGGAUUAAUUCGAUGCAACGCGAAGAACCUUACCUGGACUUGACAUAUACAGGAUCGCGCCAGAGAUGGUGUUUCCCUUGUGGCUUGUAUACAGGUGGUGCAUGGUUGUCGUCAGCUCGUAUCGUGAGAUGUUGGGUUAAGUCCCGCAACGAGCGCAACCCUUGUCUUAUGUUGCCAGCACGUUGUGGUGGGGACUCGUAAGAAACUGCCGGGGUUAACUCGGAGGAAGGUGGGGAUGACGUCAAAUCAUCAUGCCCCUUAUGUCCAGGGCUUCACACAUGCUACAAUGGUCGGUACAGUGGGUUGCCAGUCCGUGAGGGCGAGCUAAUCCCGCAAAGCCGGUCUCAGUUCGGAUCGGGGUCUGCAACUCGACCCCGUGAAGUCGGAGUCGCUAGUAAUCGCAGAUCAGCAACGCUGCGGUGAAUACGUUCCCGGGCCU